GACGAACGCAGGCGGCGUGCCUAACACAUGCAAGUCGAACGUGAUUGGGGAGCUUGCUCCCCAUGAAAGUGGCGCACGGGUGAGUAACGCGUAGAUAAUCUACCUGAUGGUCCGGGAUAACACUUCGAAAGGGGUGCUAAUACCGGAUAAGCCCACGAGGUCUUUGGACCAUGCGGGAAAAGGGGGGGACCUUUUAGGCCUUCCGUCAUCAGAUGAGUCUGCGUACCAUUAGCUAGUUGGUAGGGUAAAGGCCUACCAAGGCGACGAUGGUUAGCUGGUCUGAGAGGAUGAUCAGCCACACUGGAACUGAGACACGGUCCAGACUCCUACGGGAGGCAGCAGUGGGGAAUUUUGCGCAAUGGGGGAAACCCUGACGCAGCAACGCCGCGUGAGUGAUGAAGGCUCUUGGGUCGUAAAGCUCUGACAGAGGGAAAGAAAUGCAUGGUGGCUAAUAUCCAUUGUGCUUGACGGUACCCUCAAAGGAAGCACCGGCUAACUCCGUGCCAGCCGCCGCGGUAACAC
rnacentral:rRNA from 1 species